CCUACGGGUCGCAGCAGUGAGGAAUAUUGGUCAAUGGGCGGACGCCUGAACCAGCCAAGUAGCGUGCAGGAUGACGGCCCUACGGGUUGUAAACUGCUUUUAUACGGGAAUAACGCGCCUUACGUGUAGGGCUUUGCAUGUACCGUAUGAAUAAGGACCGGCUAAUUCCGUGCCAUCAGCCGCGGUAAUACGGAAGGUCAGGGCGUUAUCCGGAUGUAUUGGGUUUAAAGGGAGCGUAGGCCGCAUGUCAAGCGUGCUGUGAAAUGUCCGGGCUCAACCCGGGCCUUGCAGCGCGAACUGGCGUGCUUGAGUCCGCGGAAAGCAGGCGGAAUUCGUCGUGUAGCGGUGAAAUGCUUAGAUAUGACGAAGAACCCCGAUUGCGAAGGCAGUAUGCCGGCUCCACACUGACGCGGAGGCACGAAAGCGUGGGUAUCGAACAGGAGUAGAUACCCUAGUAGUC
rnacentral:rRNA from 1 species